AGAGUUUGAUCCUGGCUCAGGAUGAACGCUAGCGGCAGGCCUAAUACAUGCAAGUCGGACGGGAUUUGGGAGCUUGCUCCUGAUGAGAGUGGCGCACGGGUGCGUAACACGUAUGUAACCUACCUUAAUCUGGGGGAUAGCCUCUCGAAAGAGAGAUUAACACCGCAUAACAUCACCGGAUAGCAUUUUUUGGUGAUCAAAUAUUUAUAGGAUUAAGAUGGGCAUGCGGAACAUUAGCUAGUUGGUAAGGUAAUGGCUUACCAAGGCUACGAUGUUUAGGGGAUCUGAGAGGAUGGCCCCCCACACUGGUACUGAGACACGGACCAGACUCCUACGGGAGGCAGCAGUAAGGAAUAUUGGUCAAUGGGCGCAAGCCUGAACCAGCCAUGCCGCGUGCAGGAAGACGGCCCUAUGGGUUGUAAACCGCUGUCGUAGGGGAGGAAGGUUUGGUGUAUAGCCAAGCUUGACCGAUCCUAGGAGGAAGGGCCGGCUAAUCUCGUGCCAGCAGCCGCGGUAAUAC
rnacentral:rRNA from 1 species